rnacentral:misc_RNA from 1 species
GUAGAAGUGUAAAACGACUGGAAUGCUUUCUCACUUGGCAGGAAAAUUAAGGAAUUAUGCCCCGGGGAGGGCGGUGGGGUUGGGGGGGGGUUGGUGUGGAGGAUAUAGUGCACAGUAAACAAAACUAAGCAUAUGCCCUGAUUCCGACUCUAGAAAUGAUAUUUCUAAAAUAAUUCCAUGCAUACAUGAGAUCCCAAAUCUUUGCUACAUAUGCCAGCCCCAAGGAGUCAGGGACUUUCACUAAAAUGCUGCAUGUGCUUGAUAAAAAAAGUUAGGUGCUGGUCUAAAACAAACAAAUUCACAAGGUUGUCAAAAUGCCAGUUAAAUAUUACAAUUUCAGAACAGACCUAAG